GACGAACGCUGGCGGCGUGCCUAAUACAUGCAAGUAGGACGCAGUUGCGAACGGGUGAGUAACGCGUAGGUAACUACCUAUUAGAGGGGGAUAACUAUUGGAUACGAUAGCUAAUACCGCAUACUAGUAGAUGGACCUGCGUUGUAUUAGGUAGUAGGUAGGGUAAUGGCCUACCUAGGCAACGAUACAUAGCCGACCUGAGGAGGUGAAUGGCCCCACCGGGGCAGAGGCACGGCCCAGACGUCUACGGGAGGGAACAAGAGGGAAUCUUCGGGAAGUGGGGGAACCCUGGCCGAACAACUGCGGGUGAGUGAAGAAGGUUUUCGGAUCGUAAAGCUCUGUUGUUGAGGAAGCGGUACUUAACCAGAAAGGGACGGCUAACUACGUGCCAGCAGCCGCGGUAAUAC
rnacentral:rRNA from 1 species